rnacentral:tRNA from 1 species
GGACCUGUAGCUCAGUUGGUAGAGCAAUGCGUUUACACCGCAUCGGUCGUCGGUUCGAGUCCGGCCGGGUCCA